GAUGAAGAACGUAGUGAAAUGCGAUAAGUAAUGUGAAUUGCAGAAUUCAGUGAAUCAUCGAAUCUUUGAACGCACAUUGCGCCCAUUAGUAUUCUAGUGGGCAUGCCUGUUCGAGCGUCAUUAAGUCCACUUAAGCCCUGCUUAGUGUUGGGAGACUGCUCCAGCGGUGCUACCCUGUAGCUACCCUGCAGCUCCUCAAAGACAGCGGCGGAGUUGUGGUAUCCUCUGAGCUUAGUAACUUGUUCUAGCUUUCGAGUACACCACGUCCCCUGCCGUAAAACCCUUAAUUUUUAAUGGUUGACCUCGGAUCAGGUAGGAAUACCCGCUGAACUUAAGCAUAUCAAUAAGCGGAGGA
rnacentral:misc_RNA from 1 species